ensembl:lncRNA
UGUUGAACAGCAGGUUAAAGAGGAAACAGACCACAGAGCCAUGCAUAUGCCAAUCUAGUGUUAUGACAGAAAGGGAAAACUGAACCAGAAGAUGCUGUCAUGAGGAAGGAGAUUAUGGAAAACAAUGAUUAUAGUCAACUGGAAUGAGCAAGAGGAGUCCUGUGUCCACAACGACUGCUCAGAAGUCACUUUGUGUGGAGUCAAAUGUAGAAAUCAUAAUCGAGAAUGAAGCAUUCAUCUAUGACCAGAAAGUACCAUGUAUGCUGCCAAGCAGGAAAGAAAUCAACAGUGUGAUUCAGCUGUGACACCUUUGGACUAUGACAAUGACCAGCAUGGCGAGAUACCUAUAAAGAUUUAAAACAUGACGAAGAGUUUGGAGGACAGUGAUAAUCUAUGGACCCAUACAGAUCUGUCAAGAGGAAGCAGUUGCUCCUGUGCUGACAAUGAGGACAUGGACUGUAUCCUCCCAUCUCUGAGCAGUGUCAAUGGCAACUUGACAGUUAUCGAAAGGCUUCAGCCUUGUACUUGGCUGUGUUUAUGUUCAGCCAUCUUAAAACCUGGGCAUUUAUAGCACAUUUCAAUAGCAGCAGCUCUAAGAAUGCGAUAGUAACUGUUUAACCUGGCAGAGCCUUGGGUACGCCUGGUGUGAUAUUGCAAAUGGCACCUUCAACGUCAUAUAGAGCUAAUUAAAGACUAGGUGAUACUUGGGAUUCUUACAGGAACAAACAUGAGAAUCCUAGAGUUUAUAAUUUCAGAAUAAUCAGUAGGGUGUAUAAUUCACCGUCAAUUUAUAGUACCCUGUGCCCUAGUUUUCUUUCUCCUUUCCUAGUUUUAGGAAAGAAUUUUCAAAGAAAAUCUUUUGCUUAUUGCUGACACCAUAAAUUCAUGUAUGCCUAUAAACAUAAAAAAAUGUACUUCAAGAAGAGGUUGGGAUUAUCUUAAAAAUGGGUGCUAUGUGAAGAAACACAAGAUACAUGAGGUUAAAGGUACAGUGUGAGAGAAAACCAGACUGGUGGUAAAGGCAGACACACUAGGAGAUAUAUGUAAAGAAUAUAUGAGAGACAAAGUGUAUCAACCUGUGGGAGGAAGAAAAGGAAGCUUUCACAGAGGAAGUGGCAUUUGUUACAGAGCUAGCUUGAAAGAUACAUAUGUGCUUGCCAGACUGACAGAAUUCUCAGUAUGUUAAAACAUGCGAGUCCCGAUAUUGAACCCUGCUGGGAAAGUAUAAGAAAGGCUGUGUGACUUGGAGGGUAGAAGCAGCUUAAGAGUUUUAAAUUCCACUUGUUUUCUCCAGUUGUGUUUGAUGGUUAUAAGACAGAUAAUACAAUCAGAAAACCCACUUUGAAAUAGGGAACGUAUUAGACAGUCUUUCUUUUCGGAGAAGACAUUAGUGAAAUAUUAUUUAUCAAGCAUACAAGAGGAGGGCUGAGGUGACAAGUUAGUGGGUAAAUGCUUGCCUUGCAAGUAUGAGGUCCUGAUUUUGAUUUCUCAGAUCUCAGGCUAAAGCAGACAGACAGACAGACAAACAAAAUUAGCAAAACCAGAAAACAGCUAAGUUCGGUGGCAUAUACUUGAAAUACCAGCACUGGGCAAGUGCAGACACAAGGAACUCUAGGGCUUGCUGGUCUACCUUACUUGGCAAGUCCCAAGCCAGUGGACAAUUUAUAAGUCCUCCUAAGUGUUCAAAUGAAGGGGAGAGUGGCACACAUGUUACUUUAAAUCAAAAGUAUAAAUGGUAGAGUGAAGAAGAUAAACUAAAAGCUGAGAUAAGCUGAAAGCUAGGUUCUUGUAAGAAUCAUGUCUACUGUUUGAGCUCACACACACACAAAAUGUUCCAGGAAGCAAGACAGGGGCAAAGGGGAAAUAAAACAGCCUCAUCGCUGACACGAAUGAUACAGUGGUCUGCAUUUGAAGGCCAGACGAAUCCAGUAUUGUCUUAAGGUAAUUUUUUGGGUUGUUGUUGAAAAUAGAUUUUUUUCAUAUUAUAUAUUCUGUUCAUGAUUUUUACCUCCGCUGACUGAUUCUCCCAGCCUUCCCACCCAUCCUAAUUAACACCCUUACUAAAUAGAAAACAAGAAGGCAACUAAAAAGUAAUACAAAACAAAACCCACAGAUAAACCAGAAUAGUAUAAAAUAAGCAAACAAAAAUAAGAGACAAAGAUAAAGCUAAAGAAAUACAUACAGCUGUGAAGACAUGGGUUUAUGCAUGUGUGUGGGUCUGCACAUGUCACAGUAUGUGGAGGUCAGCAAGUCGCCCCAUGUGCCAUAUACUAACAGCUGUGAGGAUAUGAGGACAAUAUAGUUGUAUGGAAAUUUCCAGUGGAGUAUAGCUCUUUUACUGUUUUGGAGUUGAAAGCCCCUUCAGCUCUUUCAAUCCUUUCUCUAAUUCCUCCAACAGGGGUCCUGUUCUCAGUUCAGUGGUUUGCUGUUAACAUUCACCUCUGUGUUUGACAUGCUCUGGCUGUAUCUCUCAGGAGACAUCUAUAUUUAGAUUAGAUUUGUUGGAAACUUCUCUUUCUGGAGAGGUCUGUAUAGGUAUUGUUUAGUGUAGAAUAUCAGUUGUGCAAUACAAGGUCAACUUCAUAUUGACAGUGCACUUGGAUGCUUAUAUAACUCAGGGGUGGGAUAAUGGCAACAGUAUAUACAUAGGACAUACUGUUUAAGAUGCAUUUAUUUUAAGUUGUGCAUGUUUGUGUAAAGAAUGUCAAUGUCUGCAGAAGCCAGAAGAUGAUGUUACUUUCUGUUUUGCAUGUCUGGAGUUAAGGGUUGGUUGAGUCGUUCACUGUAGGGUGCUGGGAACCAAACUGGGUCUUCUGCAAGAACAGUAUGUACUCUUAACUGCUGAGCCAUCCUUUGAGCUCCUGUAGUUGAUAAUAUUUAGACUUCUUGCUCUAAGCAUUCAUUUGACAACCAUACAAUCAUUUAGGCUAGGUAUGAUAAAAGUCAUUUUUUUUCUUUUCUUUCUUUCUUUUCUUUCUUUCUUUCUUUCUUUCUUCUUUUUUUUUUGCUUUACACAUUUCAUGAAGCUAUACUUGACAAGUGAAAAAUUAUAAUUACAUAGAUUUUUAUAAAAUUUGUAAUCUGCUUUUUAUAUAUGUAUAGCUCAUGAAACAAACUAAGAUAACUACCAUGUUUAUUAUUUCCUAUAAUAUUAAUUCCUAUAAUAUACUUGGUAUGGGGUAAGGGCAUCUAUAAUCUUCUCUCUGAAUUUUCAUGUAUAUAAUACACUAUUAUUAACAAUGGCCACAUUGAAUAGAGAUGACAAGUGUAUACCUCUGUCUAAAUGAAACUUUUUUUCCCCUCAUUCUCCAUUUCCCCUAUCUCACAGCACCCCUGGUACUCAUCGCCUGCAUAUUAUUUCCAAGUUUAGCUUUUUAAUAGUCUAAAUAGUAGCAAAAUUAUGUUUAUUUUAAAAAAUAUGUUUUUCUCUUUCCUUAUGUAAUUCAGGCUAGUCUGAAACCUAUAGUCAUCCUGCCUUAGCCUCCUGAGACCUGGGUUUGUAGGCACGCAUCAUUACUACAAAGAGAGUUUUAUCAGUACACAGCUGUGGCAGUUUGGCUGCGACAGUUUUCAAACUACAGUGACAAUUGAAUACUUGUGACCACAUUUUCCAGAAAGUCAAAAAUAGGAACCCUCUGGAUUUAGAAGAACAAACUUACUGACCCCUGUUGGCAGCACAUCAACAUUUGAGAAUACUGAGACUCUCCCUCAGUAGAAUAUUUCAGGGUGAAUGCUGCUUUGAUAAUUCUGCCUUUAGAUCAUAUCUAAAAAUAGGUUAAGCUCUUCUGGGUGAGGAGAUUAAGAAUAGGACAUUCAUGUUAUUCAUUUUCUUUGGCCAGGAAGCUCCUCCCAUGUUCUUGAAGACCCUCCUUCCUCCUCUCAUUUGGCUCCCCUUUUCUAUCAGCAUCUUUAUGGGGAUGCAUUCUGUAUGCUGCACUGUGUAAAUUAGUCCACUGGUUCACAUGAACAUGCUUGCCUGCUCCAUAUUUCCCACCUCUGUGCUCAGUUUAAGACUUAGAUGGCAGACUUUCUCUGUGUUCAUCCCAUUACAUGUCUGUUUGGCUAGUUUCCUUAAAAUAGCACUUUCACUGUCAUCAUCAGAAACCCCCAGACAACAGAGCAUUGUAGUGAAAAUGGUGGCACCAUUGAACAAACCCAAGUCUCGAUUCCUUAGCACUUGAUUACCCAGGUUAGUGUGAAGAUACUCAGUUCUGUAAACUUCCCAGAUGUCCGUUAAUUCCGUUGUACAAGAGGGAAGACCAUUACCCAAAUUCCUUGGUCAGACUAACCAAGCUCUAUUUUCUGUCAGACAGAGCUAUCUCUCUAAAAUGGGCUUGUGAGUAUAGGAUAUAACACAGGAGAAGAGAGGGGAAAACUACAAGGUUAGGGAGUUUCCAAGGGCCGAGAGAUUUCCGGGAGGAUUGUGAUUUUUGUAGGAGCUUGACGGACAUUUCAAAAUUAUUUGGCAGAACAUCUCAUCAGGAUGGGAAGCAUGUCGAACAGGUUAAAGCAUGGUCAACUUGAACUUUGAAGGAAACAGAAAUGACCUUGUUUUGACCUUGUAACAAAAUGGCUUGCAUCGUUAACAUGGAGUAAGGCUGGUCCAUCGAUGUCUUCAUAGCAGAAAGCAAAAGAAAAUGAACGUUGAAUGUAUAUACGCAGAAGAUACUUCUGCUUUUCUGAAAGAAACUGACUUUUAAAUACUCUACUUAUCCAAGUAUUUUUUAAAAGCUGCUUUUUUAAAAAGAAUUUUUCAUUGAAAAAUAUUUUCCAUAUAGUAUAUUCCAUGCACACUUUCUCCUCUCGUAUCUCCUCCAAAAUCACUGCCCCUCACUUCCCCUUACCCAACUCUAUACCUUCUUCCUCUCUUUCUUUAGAAAACAAAUAGGCAAAUUGAAAAAAGACAAAAGGCCCCUAAACAUAGACAUGUAUUCAGACAGACAGACAGACAUAAACCCCCAAAACAAAGCCCAUAAAACACAAAACAGAAACUCCAAUAGAAAAGUAAUGUUAAAAAGUGCAGAAGCAACUGAAGCCACUUCUUCAUAAAGCCACCUGAAGGACCUUUUACAAAACUUAUAAAGCUGGGGAAAUUUGUUGUCUGUCAGUAUUAGUCCAAGAAGAACAGCGCAGACAUUUUCAGAAUCUGUCUUAAGAAGAAGCCAGGAGUUAAUAAACAAUCUGGAGAACCGAGCAGGUCCAAGUUUUCUGUCUUAAUUAUAGCAUUACGAGUGUGCACUGUAACACUUACAUUACCUUGAUGAAUAUUUUCUCGAGGAGUCCAUAAUGUACAUUUAACAGUAAGCAGAUUGCUAUCACCAACAGUGUCAUUUCUCCUUAGAAACGUAACACAGUUUUGUGAGGAAACGGAUCGAUACAAACACCACACAGCAUCUACGCAUUUUCUGUAGCAUGUGUUUUAAAUGCAUUUCUUUAUGGUGUUUCGAAGACACAGCAGAAAGGAAAGCAGCGAAGGUGCUCAGCUCUGUCAAUGUUCGGUGUGUCUGGUCUUCUGUAGAUGGCAGCCAAACUACAGAGAUUCACAAUGUGUUCUUGGAUGCCACACUGAGCAAGCUCAGCUUCCACGGUGGUUGAUUGCUUGUCACUGUCUUCAAAUAAUGAUGAUGGGAAUAUUGAACUCAGGGAAGCGACAGAGCUGCGAUCCAAUGGAAGGGACUAGAGCAAACGAUGCUCGUCAUAUGGCUGCCCACUGGGACAAGUAGGCAAAGGACGUGCAGGGCCUAGGGAAGGUAACAGAACAUCAGAUUCAAGGACAAAAAUAUGAUGUCAUCCGAUGUUGACAGCUAUCACAAGGUUGUGUUUUUAGCUCAGACUUAGAAACCUGGGCCAGUUCAUAUUUGAAGAGGAAUAGAUAUUUGGUAGCAUGUGAACACAGAUUUUGUAUGAGGAAAAAUAUGCAAGCACUAGGAUUCUUUAUGAAAAGCAUCUGAAUGCCCCUAAAAUACAAUUAAAAGUAAAAUCUCACUAAUGUAUCAGUUUCAGAAAACCCCAGUGCAAUGCCAGAUUACACGCAAUCUGGGAUUCCUGCUCUUUAACUAAAAAAUGAUCAUGCUUUAAGAUAAGAAUGUUUGUCUUUUCUGGACCUGGCCAAGCAGGAGACACCAUCAUGGCUGUUGACAUUCGCCACAAGGACCUAAAGGUUCUGUUCAAGGAACCCAAGAGCCAGGACAUCGACAUACAAGCUGUACAGGUUUCUGGCCAGACGGACCAACUCCACUUACAGUAAGAUCCUCAUGGAUUACUUGACCAACUGAGCCAUUGUCCCAGACUCUAAGGAUCCAGUUUGAAAUGACAUAGACUGUGACAACUACUGGCACUGCUGAAUACACAUGAGAAAGUGUUACUUGGUAAUUUGGAUAAUAGCAGGUAAGAAUUGCAGGAGAAAAGGUGAGAGGGGCAAAUGGUGCUGAGAAUAAAAGGAAGUGUGGGUAAUUGGGGAGUACGAGCAUAACUGUGUGUGUGUAAGAAUGUCUCUUGCUGGGUGGCCUCAUGAGAUAUUUAAGUCAGAACAGCCUGGGGAAGGGAGAGAUUAAGGUGUAGGGAGAAGGUACUCAUGUGGUUUGAAGCAAAAUUGCAGUCUUACUGUAUCUCUCUUUGAAUUUGCAUCAUGGGCAGGAGAGCAGCAGUUCACAGCACUUCAUCCAAGAGCUUAUUUAAGGAGGAUACCUGGAAGAUCUAGAGAGAAAUGGGAAAUUAUUGCAUAAAGAGGACAUUUUGGUUGAUGGAUGUAAUUAGAUAUAAUUUUUAAAAGAAAAAUUAAAAUUACUAAUAAGACUUGUAAUUGAUUAAAGUUGAUGUAGAGUUAUGAACCUUCUUGCUUCCUUCUCAGUGGUUGAAGGAUAGAAAAUUCUAAAAAUGCAAAUGCACUUAAAUUAGAUUGAAACAUAUAUAGUCAACGUCUUCUAUAGCAAAGCCAUUGGAAAAAAAAGAUAUGGCAUGUAAUCAAAAAGUAUACACCUAAUAUAAAUUUUAAAAAUCAGUUUUCCUCCCAUGUCCUGACAAAUUACUAAGACCAAUCUUCAGCCAAAGUAAAAUUAGAAAUGAUCUCAGAAUAAAGCACCUACUGGUUAUUUAAGAAAGGUGCCUCAUUGGUGAGUCCUUUUAAAACUGAACCAUUUCCCCAGCGUGUGAAUGAACUACUUCAACAAGGAAGCCAAGUCAAUGAAAAACAGCAGUGAGCGGCGCAGUCAGAGAAGUUACAAGACAAGAAAGAAAUUAAGCACGGAAUAAGUCAGGAAUCAUGAAAAAUUCACUUGCUGGAUGACAAAUUGUUUGAAAAAUGUUCUGACUUUCAGAUUUAUUUUCAGUUUGGGCAAGUUAUUUUUGUUUUAUAAAGAAGAGUUGUUUAUUAGCUAGAAACACAGUAGUCAGAAAUUAAGUAGGAAUGUAUUGUAAAAGUUGUCUUAGAAUGAUGUGAUAAUCUAUAAUUUUAUAAACUGUCCAAAAGUUUUGAGUAACACGAAACAGCUUCAAACUUUGCUAAAGGUCUUGUGUAUUUUGCUAUUUCUCUCUCUAGAGCAACUUACUCUUGAGUUUCAUGAUUUAACUCAGGUUACUUUGACCAUGAUUUUGCCACCUGAGUCUUAGGACAAAAAGUUAUACCUGGUUGGCGGGGUGGUAAUGUCCCCCAAACCUAGGCUUGGUCACAUUCCUUUCCCCAAAGACAGAGAAGUUGGUAAUAAAGAGAGAAAAAGAAAUUUGAUUUCUGAGUAGCCACACCUUGGAGGGCAAAUGUUGUUCUGGGGGUGCUUGAGUUGACACUGGGGGAGAAAAACAGGAACAGAGGAGAGGUAUCCAUGGCGCACAUAGGGUCACAUUGGUGCGGAGAAGUUGCUAUGGCUCUGGGGAGUGGACAGUCACAGAUCCUUAGUCAUCAAUCUCGUGAUCCUGGACCACAGGGUGAACUCCAUUAGCCUUAGAGGAUGCUUAUAAUCUCUCAGAUCUGAGUUCUGGGAAUUUAAUAUGAACUGAGGGGAAGAACUACUCAGAAAAGCACAGGUCAGGGAGAGACAAGCUGGAAUCAGUUAGGAUAAGAAGUUCGUCUUCCUUCCAUUUUGGGGUGAAUCAUUUAGAUAGCGCCAGGCAAAGUGAUUAUCUCUGAUCAAGUUGGCAGCAGUGGGCCUUAGGAUAUAACUCAAAAAUGGUCUUCCCCUCACAUUUCUGGUGCCUUAUUGUGUCUAGUCUCUCUUACUAUUCAUACGUCAUCUCCAGGGACUCCAUGUUGCCUGGUAACCUUAUUUACUAUGUUCUUAGGACAGCGUUAGGAUAGUAGCUCGGGUGUUCAGAGGAUUGAGACACAAAGUUCUCUUAGAGCCUAAACCUGGAACUGGAGCCCAUAGUUCCCCAUUAUUCCUGUCAGCCAAAAAUCACAAGUCUCAAGAGAGGGGGAAAUAGAUCCCUCAUCUCCAUGGAAAUAAAGGUAGAGUCUCUGAGCUUUCUUUAGACAUACUGGAUUUUAACUUUCUCAGUUCACAGAGCCUUCUGAGAAUCUCACAGGAAAACUCACUCUCAAUGCAUUUUGUAUGCAAACAAUUAUCCUAACUAUCUAAAUAGAGCUGUUUGACAAGGAGACUUUUAGAGAGUACCAUCAUCUGUUGUGAGCAAGCUACACCAGAAACAUAGACAAACAUGCUUGUAUCUUUUCACAAUGUCACAACUCAUUGACAAGUAAAUUUACAAAUUACCUUACUUUUAUUGACUGCUAUUUAUCAGGAAGCCCCAGUUUCCCCACAUAGCUAGCCAAUGACAAGCAUAAGUUCUCCUAUUCUAAUUUUAGUUAUAUUCAGUCUUAGAUCACAAACUGUGUGUGUGUGUGUGUGUGUGUGUGUGUGUUGUCUAGUUUGAUUUUCUAUUGUUAUGAUCGAUACCACAACUAAAGUAAGUUAGUUGGUUUUUUUAACUUACUUUUUUUACUUACUUUGAAAAAAAAUUAUUUUAUUUUACUGGCUGCAGAGUGUUACUGAGGGAAAGAGCCAAGGCUGGGACCUAAGGCAGGAGCCUGAAGCAGAAACCAUGGAAGAAUGCUAUUCUGUGGGUUGCUUCUAGGCUCAUAGUCAGCUGAUUUCUUAUUCAUUCCAAGUCUACGUGCCUAGGAAUGCUACUACUACCCACUGUUGGCUGGGCUGUACCAUCUCCUUAGCAAUCAAGACAGUGUCCUAUAGACAUGCAUGUAAGCCAAUCUAAUGGAGGAAAUUCUUUCAUUGAGGUUUCCUCUUCCAUGGUCUGUCAGUUGACAACCAAAAUGAACCAUACAUAAGGAUGUUAUCUCUAUAUAUUCCUAUAUACAUAUUCAUAUUUAUAUGUUAUACACACACACACAGACACACACACACACACACACACACACACACACACACACACACACACAUGGCUACAAAAAAAGGUUAAUGUACCCACAGAGCAUAAAGCAGCCUUACUGGAGGCAGAGAAGGGAGCCGUUAGAGAUUCAAAGAAUCACUUCAGGUGUUUCGUUAUUAUCUUAGGUGGAGAGCUACUGGAAAGAGGAGAGCCCUGACACAGGGUUGAAGGUGCAGCCAAGCUCCACUUGUGAGGCACAGGGUGGAACCCAACAUAAGAUGGUAGGACCCUUGACAUACAAGAGGUACAUGGACACAAAGGUGGCAGUGCGAGUGGACCAGGACUUGAGCCUGAAAUGAUUGAUCUUCCUCUCUGUCCAGUGAUGUGUAUUCUGCAGACUGGCAUCAUGCAUCCAAAAGAGGCGAAUGCUAGCAGCAAGCCAUUGAACUGAGAACAGGAUCCCCACUGGAGGAAUUGGAGAAAGGAUUGAAGGAGCUGAAGGGUUUACAACCCCAUAAGAACAACAAUGCCAACCAACCAGAGCUUCCAGGGACUAAACCACUACCCAGAGACUACACAUGGACUGACCCAUAGAUCCAACUGCAUAUGUAGCAGAGAAUGGCUAUGUUGGGCACCAAUGGAAGGAGAAGCCCUUGGUCCUUGGUUGGACCCUCCAGUAUAAGGGAAUGGGGG